GAAUUUAAUUUUGGUUCAGAUUGAACGUUAUUCAGUAGUUUCAAGACAUGCAAAUCGUUGUUUUCGACAUUGAAUUUAUAUCUAAAAAAUAUGAAAGAUAUUAGAAAAUUAGGUGUAAAGGUGAGGAUAGUAAAUAAGAUACCCCUUAGUCUUCAGAAAUAGGAGAUAUUUCUUUUUUUAAAGAAAAUAAAAAAGCUAUUUUUAUACAUAAAGGAAAAUUUUCUGCUAUAGGAUUCUAUUUAUUUCGAUUAGGUAGUUGAUAGGGUAAAGGCCUACCAAGCCAACGAUCGAUAGCUAAGCUUGAUAGAGCAAAUGGCCACAUUGGGAAUGAGAUCUCCCAAGUAGUAUUUUUAAUUAAUAGGCUACCAGCAGUCGAGAAUAUUAGUCAAUGCUCGCAAGAGUGAACUAGCUAACUGAAAUCAUUUGUGUAUCACAAGUGAUGUCGUAAGGGUAAAAUAAUGAUAUUACCUUACUAAUAGUGUCGUCAAAAGCUGUUAUGUGUUGUGGGAAAACACUAUUAUGGCUAAAACUAUCAAACUGUCAACGAUGAAUGGUAAUUACUAGUUUAAAUUACUAGAGGUGAAGUUAACACGUUAACCAUUCUUGUGAGUACGAUUGCAAAAUUGAAAACAAAAAAAUUAGUCGGUCUCGGAGCAAACGAAGUGAAGCAUGUUAUUUAAUACGAUAACCCGCGUAAAACCUUACCAGUUCUUGCAUACAAACUUCUAUUUUUUGAUACUUAUUUUAAAUAAUAUUCGCGACUUAAUAAUAAUAUUAAAUAUGCGAAUACAAUAAUUAGAAGGAGUGUUUUUUAUAAGACACUUAGUUACAGGUGUUGCAUGGCUGUCGUCAGUCCGUAUUGUCAGAAGUUAGGUUAAUUCCAUUUCAACGGACGAAAUCCCUGUUGUUAAUUUAUUCUUAACAAUUGAUGGUAACUGAUAGAGUUCCAUUUGGGGCAAAGACAAGUCGUUAUGGCCCUCAUGUUCUGGGCUAUAGACGUGCCACAAAAACUUUUACAAAGUGGUGCAAUACUUAAUCUGAAUUAAGUGGAGCUAAUCAUUAAAGAAAGUUAAAAUAUCAAAAUGUGUCGGAUUGUCACCUGCAAUUCGGUGGCAUGAAGAAGGAAUUUCGAGUAAUCGUUGAUCACUAGCGCAACGGUGAAGAUAGAAUCCGUGAUGAACUAACUGUCUGUCGCUGGGAAGAAGCUUAAACAGAAGGAAACUGGAGGUAGGUUAGAUUUUUCAUAGAUUUAGUUUUUCUGCUAUUAUUUAUUUUUAAAUAUUUUAAUAGUCAAUUAAAAAAAAAAACAUCUCUGUUAAGCUAAUUGGCUUUAGUUAAUUCAAUUAGGUAACAUUUCAAAAGUCAUAGCAAGGUAGCCGUACUGGAAAGUGCUGCUG
rnacentral:rRNA from 1 species